AUUAAAGUUAUUGAGUCUGAGGAUCAUUUUUAUGAUCGAAAGAAAGUGAACAGAGUCUAGUGCGGUGUUGUCGGGUCUCCUCAGUUCCGGACUGCACCAGAAUACAGCUGCUGCACUUUGCAGGACCACGAUGAACCAAGAAAACCCUCCACCGUAUCCUGGCCCUGGUCCAACAGCCCCAUACCCACCUUAUCCACAAGCACCAAUGGGUCCAGGACCUAUGGGGGGGCCAUACCCACCUCCUCAGGGGUAUCCCUACCAAGAGUACCCCCAGUACGGCUGGCAGGGUGGACCUCAGGAACCUUCUAAAACCACAGUGUAUGUGGUAGAAGACCAAAGAAGAAAUGACAUGGGACCAUCCAUCUGCCUCACAGCCUGCUGGACUGCUCUCUGUUGCUGCUGUCUCUGGGACAUGCUCACCUGACCAGGCCAGCCCUUUGUCCUGCCACUCUGCUGCCACCUCCAGUAGGUGUGCCUGCCCCCAUGUCUUCUGAUUGCUGUAAUAAUGACUAGCUCUGCACAGAAACCUCUUCCUUCAACACUUUGGUAUUCUAGAUUAGUAGGGGUUGCUGGUGUUUAAUUCAGUGACUUGAUCUUGAUCUUUUCGAUGUUUGAAGUGCAUUUCUUAUGAAUCUUUAACAAAUGUGCUAAAUGAUUCCUUUUAUUGGCCAAAGGCUUAGUUAUGAAAUAUAUAUUUAUGAUUUUAAAUU